rnacentral:rRNA from 1 species
UACAGAGGUCUCAAGCGUUGUUCGGAUUUAUUGGGCGUAAAGGGCGCGUAGGCGGCGGGGUAAGUCGGGUGUGAAAUCUCAGGGCUCAACCCUGAAACUGCACUUGAUACUGCUCUGCUUGAGGACUGGAGAGGAGACUGGAAUUCACGGUGUAGCAGUGAAAUGCGUAGAUAUCGUGAGGAACACCUGCGGUGUAGACAGCUUUCUGGACCACUUCUGGCGCUGAGACACGAAAGCGUGGGUAGCAAACAGG